GCUCUCGGGCUCUGGACAGUCAUCGUUUAACAUAUGGACGGCAAAUGUCCUUUCUGCCAGCUGGAACGUCUCCAUAUCAUGAAUGAUGAAAGGCUGCAGAGAAAGAAAGAGGAUGCUGGUAGGUUUCUGAUACUGUUCUGUCUGCAGUGGGAGGCCAUCGUAACAAACCCAAUGACCCCUUAGCAGUCAGUGCAGAUGACGGGCCAGAUGUGGAGCUAUAUGGGCCUGUGUUUCCUCAAUGUCAAGCAAGCUCCGGCAGGACGUUGUUCUAUAAAACCCAGUCCGUGUAAAGCAUGUUGAUUUGGAGCCAAAACACAUUAGGACAUUAACUGCUGUUGUUGAGAACACAUAUCAUGGUGCUGACUGAGGACGUGGUGAGCAGAGUUUUAUGUAACUGCAUUCAUGAUGCUUACUUGCAAGCUCUGUCAUUGCUAUUACAGUACUGUAUUGGAUGCUAUGAUUUCAGUAAUUGAGCUUUAAAGCUGGGCUGUUCUGAAAGAUGAUGCAACACACGUAUAACUCUCAUACACAUUUAUUAAAAGUUUAAUUCAUGCUAUAAAGCAAUAGAACGCACUCUUGCUCA